UGCAAACUCAUUUCCCCGGGUGAGAGGCC
rnacentral:piRNA from 1 species